rnacentral:lncRNA from 1 species
UUUCUGCUCAUGGGUCUGUGGGCUGCCUGUGGCUUUGGGUUGAGGUCAGGUCUGCUGUGUGCAUCAUUUUGCUGUGGGACCUAGGCUGAGGAAGCCCCCUCUGCCUGGGAAGUUGGCGUCUCCCAGAGGAGGGCAGAGGCUUACAAGCCCAAGGCAGUUGAUGCAGGUGCAGUUGAAACUCCUGCUCAGAUGUGGCAUCAUAUGUCAUGCCUGCUGAUGAAUCCACUGGCCAAAGCAAGUCCCCUGGCCAAGCCCAGUAAGAAUGGGGCUGGGAAGGACAUCCCUCCACAGAGUGGGGGCAGGGGUGGGCGGUGGAGAGGAUGGGAAUACAGUGCACUAUUUGGUGAAUACGGCCAUGUUAAACUAGAGAGCCUGACAUGCUCAUUUCCCCUUUCUUCUGCGGCAUCUUCUUGGAGGACAUCAUUCUCAAACUUGAGCAGGCAUCAGAAUCAGCUGAGGGCUCAUUAAAAUGCGGGCCCCACCCUAGGGUUUCUGAUUCAGCAGGUGCGGUGCAGGGGGCCUGAACAUGUGUUAUUUCUAACAAGCUCCCAGGCAGUAGGAUGUGGCUGGUCUGGGACUGUACUUUGAGGGCCACUGGCCUAGUUUUCUGGGGGAGAAGGAGGCUUAUCUGAUUUCUGCCUCUGGACCAUUUCCUGACUUCCAAGGGUGGCCCUUAUCUCAAGCAGCCGCCAGCCUCUCCUUGCGCCCUUCACUCUCCGCUGAAACACUCCUUGAAUCUAAGUGGAAAGAGAAGAGCUCCUCCUUAGCCAGAGAGGGAGCUUCUCUGGAAUGCGUCCUGGGCCAGACAUCUGAUUUCAGAUACGCAGACCCGUGCUGGGUUUCAGCCACCCUUUGACGGCAGAACAGUAGAACAUUUCAAGGCAGCGGUUUUACCUCGAGUUUCAGCCUUUGGAAUUUGGGUUACAAUUGAGAAGGGGAUGUCACUCAGGGUCAUGCCUGACUCGCAUGACUUUCUGGAAUAUACAUAGAGCCAAGAGACCCCACCCCGAGGCACAGGGUGUGUGCCUGGCAGAAGAAGGAAGGUGGGUUUCAGAUGUGGUCAAGUCCGGGUUUGAGUCCUGGCUCCGUCACUCAGUGGCUUUGCGACUGUGAAAAGGUCAUCUUAGCUCCUUUAAAAGCCCUGGUUUUUCUUCUUCAUAUAGAAAAUGGAGUUGCUGUUGAUCCCACCCUUGCUGGGUCACGAUGAGGAUUGAAUGUGGUCACGUUUCUGAUUCUGCUUCCCAUGCCGUCGGGUCUGUCCAUGCACAGGUGUCACUGUGCCUCUUAUCUGUGGGGCAGUCCCCAACCUGCUGGAUGCUUUGACUUCGACAGGCGUCUGCCAGGAUUUCUCUGGGUUUGGAAGGACGAAUUUCUUUCCUAAAGGCAGAGGGUGAAGACGGAAGGUUUCCUAUUAGUAUUAUAAUAUCCACUCCAUGUUUACACUUGAAAGCUUCUUGUCCCAGGAGAAGCAAAACUUGCUGUGGUUGUUCAAGGACCUUCCUAAAUUAGUUGUUGAGUUGUGUUUGGAUCCCCACCCCCACCCCAUCUCUAGUAUUGAAAUUAAUUGGUGCAGUUAACUGCUGAGUUCAUACAAACUGGCCUCCUGGUAUUAAGGAAUUAAUGACACCAAUACUCUGCUGAAUGAGAAGGCAAUACAACUUCUGUUUGCUGCUGCCGCCGCCACUGCUAAUUUCAUUUUAGAAAAUUAAUAAAAAUGAAUUGCACCACUG